CCUACGGGAGGCAGCAGUGGGGAAUAUUGGGCAAUGGGCGCAAGCCUGACCCAGCAACGCCGCGUGACGGAAGAAGGCAUUCGGGUUGUAAACUUCUUUUAAGAGGGAAGAGCAGAUGACGGUACCUCUUGAAUAAGCCACGGCUAACUACGUGCCAGCAGCCGAGUUAAUACGUAGGUGGCAAGCGUUGUCCGGAUUGACUGGGUGUAAAUGUCGGGAAGUCGGGCUGACAAGUCAGAUGUGAAAUCCGGGGGCUCAACCCCCGAACUGCAUUUGAAACUGUUGGUCUAGAGUAUCGGAGAGGCAGGCGGAAUUCCAUGUGUAGCGGUGAAAUGCGUAGAUAUUAGGAGGAACACCAGUGGCGAAGGCAGCCUGCUGGACGACAACUGACGGUGAGGCGCGAAAGCGUGGGGAGCAAACAGGAUUAGAUACCCUAGUAGUC
rnacentral:rRNA from 1 species